AUUGAACGCUGGCGGCAGGCCUAACACAUGCAAGUCGAGCGGAGCGGCGGACGGGUGAGUAAUGUCUGGGAAACUGCCUGAUGGAGGGGGAUAACUACUGGAAACGGUAGCUAAUACCGCAUACUAUUGGAGCGGCCGGUAUCGGAUUAGCUAGUUGGUGGGGUAACGGCUCACCAGGGCGACGAUCCGUAGCUGGUUUGAGAGGACGACCAGCCACACUGGGACUGAGACACGGCCCAGACUCCUACGGGAGGCAGCAGUGGGGAAUUUUGGACAAUGGGGGAAACCCUGAUCCAGCCAUGCCGCGUGUGUGAAGAAGGUCUUCGGAUUGUAAAGCACUUUAAGUUGGGAGGCGGUACCUGCAGAAUAAGCACCGGCUAACUACGUGCCAGCAGCCGCGGUAAUUC
rnacentral:rRNA from 1 species